AAAAUAGAGGUGCGAGAGUUCAGGUAGUUCUUCACGCUUGACUGCGGGGUCGUUUGUGAGGGAGGAAUGGGGCUUUUGCCGAAGGUGUGCUUUAUCCGCUAAGGGCGCAUCUGGGCGUGCGGCUUAGAGCUGCGCGACUGUCAUUGCUUGUCAAUGGUGCGCUAUUG
rnacentral:ncRNA from 1 species